UCAUCUCCGGGGGUAGAGCACUGUUUCGGCAAGGGGGUCAUCCCGACUUACCAACCCGAUGCAAACUGCGAAUACCGGAGAAUGUUAUCACGGGAGACACACGGCGGGUGCUAACGUCCGUCGUGAAGAGGGAAACAACCCAGACCGCCAGCUAAGGUCCCAAAGUCAUGGUUAAGUGGGAAACGAUGUGGGAAGGCCCAGACAGCCAGGAUGUUGGCUUAGAAGCAGCCAUCAUUUAAAGAAAGCGUAAUAGCUCACUGGUCGAGUCGGCCUGCGCGGAAGAUGUAACGGGGCUAAACCAUGCACCGAAGCUGCGGCAGCGACGCUUAUGCGUUGUUGGGUAGGGGAGCGUUCUGUAAGCCUGCGAAGGUGUGCUGUGAGGCAUGCUGGAGGUAUCAGAAGUGCGAAUGCUGACAUAAGUAACGAUAAAGCGGGUGAAAAGCCCGCUCGCCGGAAGACCAAGGGUUCCUGUCCAACGUUAAUCGGGGCAGGGUGAGUCGACCCCUAAGGCGAGGCCGAAAGGCGUAGUCGAUGGGAAACAGGUUAAUAUUCCUGUACUUGGUGUUACUGCGAAGGGGGGACGGAGAAGGCUAUGUUGGCCGGGCGACGGUUGUCCCGGUUUAAGCGUGUAGGCUGGUUUUCCAGGCAAAUCCGGAAAAUCAAGGCUGAGGCGUGAUGACGAGGCACUACGGUGCUGAAGCAACAAAUGCCCUGCUUCCAGGAAAAGCCUCUAAGCAUCAGGUAACAUCAAAUCGUACCCCAAACCGACACAGGUGGUCAGGUAGAGAAUACCAAGGCGCUUGAGAGAACUCGGGUGAAGGAACUAGGCAAAAUGGUGCCGUAACUUCGGGAGAAGGCACGCUGAUAUGUAGGUGAAGUCCCUCGCGGAUGGAGCUGAAAUCAGUCGAAGAUACCAGCUGGCUGCAACUGUUUAUUAAAAACACAGCACUGUGCAAACACGAAAGUGGACGUAUACGGUGUGACGCCUGCCCGGUGCCGGAAGGUUAAUUGAUGGGGUUAGCCGCAAGGCGAAGCUCUUGAUCGAAGCCCCGGUAAACGGCGGCCGUAACUAUAACGGUCCUAAGGUAGCGAAAUUCCUUGUCGGGUAAGUUCCGACCUGCACGAAUGGCGUAAUGAUGGCCAGGCUGUCUCCACCCGAGACUCAGUGAAAUUGAACUCGCUGUGAAGAUGCAGUGUACCCGCGGCAAGACGGAAAGACCCCGUGAACCUUUACUAUAGCUUGACACUGAACAUUGAGCCUUGAUGUGUAGGAUAGGUGGGAGGCUUAGAAGUGUGGACGCCAGUCUGCAUGGAGCCGACCUUGAAAUACCACCCUUUAAUGUUUGAUGUUCUAACGUUGACCCGUAAUCCGGGUUGCGGACAGUGUCUGGUGGGUAGUUUGACUGGGGCGGUCUCCUCCUAAAGAGUAACGGAGGAGCACGAAGGUUGGCUAAUCCUGGUCGGACAUCAGGAGGUUAGUGCAAUGGCAUAAGCCAGCUUGACUGCGAGCGUGACGGCGCGAGCAGGUGCGAAAGCAGGUCAUAGUGAUCCGGUGGUUCUGAAUGGAAGGGCCAUCGCUCAACGGAUAAAAGGUACUCCGGGGAUAACAGGCUGAUACCGCCCAAGAGUUCAUAUCGACGGCGGUGUUUGGCACCUCGAUGUCGGCUCAUCACAUCCUGGGGCUGAAGUAGGUCCCAAGGGUAUGGCUGUUCGCCAUUUAAAGUGGUACGCGAGCUGGGUUUAGAACGUCGUGAGACAGUUCGGUCCCUAUCUGCCGUGGGCGCUGGAGAACUGAGGGGGGCUGCUCCUAGUACGAGAGGACCGGAGUGGACGCAUCACUGGUGUUCGGGUUGUCAUGCCAAUGGCACUGCCCGGUAGCUAAAUGCGGAAGAGAUAAGUGCUGAAAGCAUCUAAGCACGAAACUUGCCCCGAGAUGAGUUCUCCCUGACCCUUUAAGGGUCCUGAAGGAACGUUGAAGACGACGACGUUGAUAGGCCGGGUGUGUAAGCGCAGCGAUGCGUUGAGCUAACCGGUACUAAUGAACCGUGAGGCUUAACCUU
rnacentral:rRNA from 1 species